AUAGUUUCUCACUUAGAAAGCUCAUUGUUCUUUUGGUUUGCACUGGGAUGUGAAAGAAAAACAUCCCUGCGCUUUCUGUCUUUGUGGCGGCCCAGACUGAUUAAGGGACUACGUCU
rnacentral:snoRNA from 1 species